rnacentral:rRNA from 1 species
GACGAACGCUGGCGGCGUGCUUAACACAUGCAAGUCGAACGGCAAGGCCCUGCUUUUUUGCGCUUCCCGAUUGGCGAACGGGUGAGUAACACGUGAGUAACCUGCCCUUGACUUUCGGAUAACUUCAGGAAACUGGGGCUAAUACCGGACAGGAGCUCCUCCUCCAUGGUAGGCGUUGGAACGUUUCGGCUGGUGGGGAUGGACGCGCGGCUUAUCAGCUUGUUAGUGGGCUAGUUGAUUACCAAGGGAUUCACGGGUAGCCGGCAUGGGAGGGUGACCGGGCACAAGGCGACUGAGAGAGGGCGCAGAGGGGUACGGGGGGCAGCAGGCGGAAGUCUGGCACAGCGGGCGGGAGCGUGUGGCAGAAACGUCGGGUGCGGGAUGACGGCCUUCGGGGUGAAAACAGCUUUCGCCUGUGACGAAGCGGGAGUGACGGUAAUGGGUAAAGAAGCACCGGCUAACUACGUG